ensembl:lncRNA
GUUCCGACCGCCUGCCGAGUCGCAGCGACCAGCCGUUACCGUUUCCUCGAAAGGACUCAAAACAAUCAGUUCUGAGUAUUUCACCGCAGCGGCCAAAAAAACGUCUUAAUGGGAAUCUGCAUAUCUCCUGCUCCUGUUUCCAAGCAGAACCAGCUCAGCUUGGAGCCGCCUUGUCAAUCUCUGGGCCUCCUCUCCCCCCUCAUUAAGACGGAGAACGGGCAUGCGGUGAGAUGGGCUUCUCCCCCGUCUCUAGCCCUGCGGAGAGAUGCCUGCGUGGGAUGACAAGGCAUAAGUUGGGGCAGCCACGGAGCUUUCCUUUGAUGGAUCUGUUUCCCCCUACUCUUAUUAGAUAUGUUUCUACCACAUCCUUAGCAGGGAAGACCGAUAGUAUCUGAGAGGACCCGCGGCUGAUGGUUUCUGUAUCAACUACGUACGAAGUUGACGUGCCAGAUGACCAAUAAGAGCCCUGCGUUCUGCUGUCUGCUGAGGUCCACUGUAACAUCUGCCACCGCAAGUUGUAUGUUCUAUGGGCAGAAAGGAAUCGGCAGGUACCUCGCAGUAUGGUUAAAAAAUGUUAAUGCCGAUACGAUGUAUAUUCUGAUUCUGUAAAUAUUGCUGUACGAUAUUUUGGGUGGUUUAAUUUAUAAGCGGAAGUUUGUGUUGUAAAAGGGCCAUUGGUAUCGGCCAUUUUGUUCUUUUAAUGACUGUUCCAAAAAGAACAGAAGCAAUUGCCUACACUAGAGAGUGCCUUCUGCACAAUGGUAUCAUUAUUUUGCCUCCACUAAGAUCAGAUUGACAUUCUGGCUUAUAAAUAAAUGAAUGUGGGUUUUUUGAGUCAAUGAAAUGAAUUGUGGUAGCGAAGAAUCUUACUCAGACACCUCUAUAUUUACUCCUUCAUUACAGACAAACUGAUAGAUAGACCGAAAGACUGACUAAAUGACUAGCUAUCUGAUUGAUGCACUGAAAAUACCAAAUAAGUAUCCAAAUAUGGCACACAUUUCCCUGCAUAAAGCACCAGUGGG